rnacentral:rRNA from 1 species
UAAUACGGAGGGCGCAAGCGUUGUUCGGAAUCAUUGGGCGUAAAGCGCGUGUAGGCGGCUUGGCAAGUCGGACGUGAAAGCCCGGGGCUCAACCCCGGAAUUGCGUUCGAAACUGCUUGGCUAGAGUCCCGGAGAGGAGGGCGGAAUUCCCGGUGUAGAGGUGAAAUUCGUAGAUAUCGGGAGGAACACCAGCGGCGAAGGCGGCCCUCUGGACGGUGACUGACGCUGAGACGCGAAAGCGUGGGGAGCAAACAGGAUUAGAUACCCUGGUAGUCCACGCCGUAAACGUUGGGUGCUAGGUGUCGCGGGUAUUGACCCUUGCGGUGCCGUCGUUAACGCAGUUAGCACCCCGCCUGGGGAGUACGGUCGCAAGGCUA